GGAGAGAUGUCCGAGUGGUUGAAGGAGCACGCCUGGAGAGCGUGUAGGGGUUUAAAACGCCCCUCCUGGGUUCGAAUCCCAGUCUCUCCG
rfam:Candidate division Zixibacteria bacterium RBG_16_50_21 RBG_16_scaffold_8252, whole genome shotgun sequence.